UCUGUCUCAGAGGUUCCCGUCUGCGGCCGCGUUUUUAAAAUAAAACUUUUAAAAGUAGCUCAGCUUUAUGACAGGAUCAUUUAUCUCAAAGAACACCUAAUCAUUGGUUUGAAUUGUAUCCCUUCCUUCCUGGCUCUAUUUUCCUUGAUCACCGCUUAAACAAAUAUUCCCUCGUGUCAUUGGGUUGCAGGGAGGUUUGAUAUUUUUCGCUUAGAUCGUUUACACCCAUCCAGGGCUCCAAGCAAAGCAGACGGAUCGUAUCAAAAUCUCUUAUAAUCCCAACACAAGAAGCUUAGUCUCUUUUAAAAGAACGAGCUGUAAGGACUGUCAUUGUUUCGUCACUAAACACUUUUAUUUUAAAGUAAACAGCCGAAUAUUUUUUAUAGCUUUUGAUGUAUUCAAAAGCUCGUUACACCAAAGCAACAUAUGGGGGAGGGAAGUUUGGGUGCCGGAGAAAUAACGAACAAGCUUCAGUCCCUCGGUGACUCUCUCCCAGAUGCAUAGAAUAUGAGCCAUAAAGCAGUUUAAAUCUGGAUAUAUAUCCAGUUAUCAUUAAGUGUGUUCAAACGAUGUGUGCAAGAUUGACACAUCACAUUAAUAUUAAUUCAGUAUUAUUAAAUUGAGCUUGUGAAAAUGCUGAAUACCCCCCCAAAAAAUCCAUGAUAGUCACCGAUUUAACGCACAAAUGGAUAUGCCUGCUUCCUCUAUGCAUGUAUCAAAUGGACUGCCUGACCCAACGACUCUGCCCACCCCUGGAGCCGAACCUCCGAUUCUCAAGAUGGUAGUGCACUUGAGCGGCUUUACCGACUGAGGCUUGUGAACAUCAUAUGAUACCUCCCAACAUGAAGACACCCUUUUUGGCCUUCCUGAAGUCCUUAUGCUUAGACCAUUCUGGGGAAAUCCCGCCCGGCUCUGGGGCAG